rnacentral:rRNA from 1 species
GGAGUUAGCCGGUGCUUCUUCUGUGAGUGAUGUCCUUCCUGCCGGUUAUUGACCCGCAGGCCUUCUUCCUCACUGAAAGUGCUUUACAACCCGAAGGCCUUCUUCACACACGCGGCAUGGCUGGAUCAGGGUUGCCCCCAUUGUCCAAUAUUCCCCACUGCUGCCUCCCGUAGGAGUCUGGGCCGUGUCUCAGUCCCAGUGUGGCUGAUCAUCCUCUCAGACCAGCUACGGAUCGUCGCCUUGGUGAGCCGUUACCUCACCAACCAGCUAAUCCGACAUAGGCUCAUCCGAUAGCGCGAGGCCCGAAGGUCCCCCGCUUUCCCCCGUAGGGCGUAUGCGGUAUUAGCCUGGGUUUCCCCAGGUUAUCCCCCACUACCGGGCAGAUUCCUAUGCAUUACUCACCCGUCCGCCGCUCGCCACCAGGGAGCAAGCUCCCCGUGCUGCCGCUCGACUUGCAUGUGUUAGCUGCCGCCACGCGUUCAUCUGAGCCGACGAAUACGAACCCGUACGA